CCCUGCCUCCCCUGUGUAUAUACGUCUGUGUGUCCACUUGUCUUUGUCAGUUUGUUGUUGUCUUUCACCUGUCCUCGACGUGGUUUUCCUCUGUGUUGUUGCCAGUGUCUGCUUCAUGUUUCCAGUGUCCUAGUGUUUUCAAAUGUUUUUUUCAGUUUAGCCUUUUUUGCAGUCGUUUCUAGUUUCCAGUGCCUUUUUAGAUUCCAUUUCAUUUAGCUGACGCUUUUAUCCAAAGCAACUUUCAAUAAGUGCAUCAACCAUGAGGGAACAAACCCAGAACAACAAGAAUCAAAGGGAGUCAUGUGAUAGGAACCCAAUGGAUCUGAGAAGGAUGCAUCUGGACCAAUAAGACUCAAUCAGCAGGCAGAUAUCUCCAUCUGACUGCAGCUGAGCGAGGGCACGGGAGUAUUUUUAACGCUCUGUCUCAACACUGGUUGUUUUCCACUUUCUUUUUCUUUUUCAGAUGUUUACUGCUUUCUGCGGAGCGAGAAUAAACUUUUUGUUUAACAUUUAGCUGUGAAGAGAACACAAACAUUAAACCGGCGUUGACACAGAUACUGGAUCAGAUGAGCUCUUUUCUUUGUCUCAUGUCUGGUCAUGACUUGCAGGGAGGUGUAAAACUCGACGGAGAUUGCAUCAAUCCUUAAGAGUGUCUGGGAUAAGCAAAGAGAAAAGGGUUUUCUCGACUUGUAAAUCUCCUCUGCUCUAAUGUUCUUAUGCUUUAUCUUGGUUU